UAACAGUUAAGCGAUUCAAUCGGUUCUAGUCCAAUGGAAAAUAAUUGAAGUCGUUAAAUUGAGAGAUAGUCAAUGUUUUAUCUAAGUGUAUAGUGUAAGUUACUUUCGAACGAUACCGGAGGUACAAUGAUAAAGCUCCUAUGUGUAACUAUCACUCUUAUUAUUAUCGCCAGCGUGGUCGCUCGCCCGCUUACCAGAUCAGAGCAAAACAGGAUAUACCGUAAGAUCACGGAAAGCAUGGUAACCAAAUUGAAACGCACUCUUAAAAUAGCUAAAAACUCAGGCAGGAAAUAUUCUCCAGCAGAAGUGCAAGCUAUGAUGAGCAAAACAUUGCUUGACGAGCUGGCCAAAUAUCAGGUUGACAUACAAAGAUUACCUUUGAAAGGACGAAAACUUCCAGAUUUUUCUAUUGAACCGCGGUGGGAAAAGGAAGUCCAAAGAUAUGCCAAAGAUUUGACAGGUGGUGUUAAGGUGAAGAUCCCCACAUAUACAUUAUAACCAAAAGUGUUGAUAGUUUAGUUUGUUAAUCAGAUAUGUCUCAACAGA